rnacentral:rRNA from 1 species
UACGGGAGGUGCAAGCGUUAUCCGGAUUCACUGGGUUUAAAGGGUGCGUAGGUGGGUUGGUAAGUCAGUGGUGAAAUCUCCGGGCUUAACCUGGAAACUGCCAUUGAUACUAUCAAUCUUGAAUACCUUGGAGGUGAGCGGAAUAUGUCAUGUAGCGGUGAAAUGCUUAGAUAUGACAUAGAACACCAAUUGCGAAGGCAGCUCACUACACGGUCAUUGACACUGAGGCACGAAAGCGUGGGGAUCAAACAGG